rnacentral:pre_miRNA from 1 species
UUGGUUUAAAUAAUUGUGGAUCUAUGUUUUGAAAAUUGAACUCACACAAAGUGGUAGGACAUAUAUUGAUUUCAUCCAA